rnacentral:rRNA from 1 species
UUUAUGGAGAGUUUGAUCCUGGCUCAGAGUGAACGCUGGCGGCGUGCCUAAUACAUGCAAGUCGAACGAUGAAGCUUUUAGCUUGCUAGAAGUGGAUUAGUGGCGCACGGGUGAGUAAUGCAUAGGUUAUGUGCCCUUUAGUCUGGGAUAGCCACUGGAAACGGUGAUUAAUACUAGAUACUCCCUACGGGGGAAAGUUUUUCGCUAAAGGAUCAGCCUAUGUCCUAUCAGCUUGUUGGUGAGGUAAUGGCUCACCAAGGCUAUGACGGGUAUCCGGCCUGAGAGGGUGAUCGGACACACUGGAACUGAGACACGGUCCAGACUCCUACGGGAGGCAGC